AAAAACGUUACAAUUAGAUAAUGCUGUAGAGGGGGAGCUGUCAAUUUGCUUUUGGCCCUCCUUGGACACAGGAUCUUUUAUCUCUCUAUAAGGUGGAAGAAGACCCAACACCACGUCGUCUUUUCUUCAGUUUAUCACAACGCAACACGAAUCGAUUCGGGCUCCUGUGAGUCUCAGAUUUCAUCAGGAAGCCUCGAAGAAAUACAGUCGCACGUAUAUAUAGGCAUAGUAUGUUAAUUAUGUUAAUGAGGGGCGGUCAGUCCUUCCCCUUAUG